GUUUUGGAUUAAAAAGAAAAAAAAAACACAAAAUUUACGAACAAUUUCCUGACUCUGAAAUCUUCUUCUUCCUCUCCCAGCCGUGCUCUCCUCCUACCCAGCCGCGGCAUUCCCCCUAUCCGCCGUCGUCCCCUUCCUUCGCCGGUGCAAUCUAUUUCCGUUUUCGAUUUCCUCGCUGUCGCCUUCUAGCCACCUUGUAGUCGCCAUCGUCGUCGCUGUUCCCUGCCGCCUUUCAGUCACCGUCUUCUCCUCUCUCCCAGAAGCCUUGCAAUCGCCGACGUCGCCUCCCAGUCCUCUGCUAAGCCUCUCCUCGGCUUCUCAGUUCAGGACUUUCCUCAGUUUCGAGUUCGAUCAUGUCGAAGGACAAGGACUCUACCAAUUUGUCACGCACCUUCAAAUACCUCUUAGCUACUCAAUUCUUGUCAAGAGGAAUUCCAUUUAUAUUCAAUACAUGGAUUGUAAGGCAUCUUACACAAGAAGACUAUGCGCUAUAUGCAGUGCAGUUUCAUCUGUUUGUCACAUGUGUUUUAUUUCUUAGUCGGGAAGGCUUCCGGCGAGCAUGCUUGCGCAUGGAAAUGCAAAGUGAUGGCAAUACAAAAGAUGUUGUGAAGCUAAUGAAAGUGGUGUGGAUGAGUUUCCCGCUUGGAAUAUUUAUUACAAUAGUGGCAUGCUCUUUUGUUCUAUGGUUGCAAGGCCUAAGUUAUUCUAGUUCACUUGGGCAAGCUGUGUUGAUCAAUGGUCUUGCAUGCAUUUUGGAGCUUUUAGCUGAGCCUUUGUAUAUUCUUUCACAGAACUUGGUCUUGCUUGAAUUAAGAUUGAUGGUUGAGACAGUAGCUACUAUUUCACGAUGCUUGACAAUGUACUUUCUACUUGUCAAGAAAUCUCAAAUGGAAAAACCAAUCAUAUUUGCAUUAUCACAAUCUGUGUAUGGAGCCUGCUUAUUUAUUGGCUACUGGGGUUAUCUCAUUCUUUUCAGCAAAUUCAAAUGUUCUUACCUUUUCCCAUUCAGAGAAGGAAAACUGAUUGACUUUGAUAAGCAGCUGUCCAAGAUGUGCAUGUUGUUUACCUUUCAAUCUUAUCAAAAGUUGAUUCUUCAGGAAGGAGAAAAAAUGGUGCUUGUGUGGUUGGAUACACCAUAUAAUCAAGCAGUAUAUGGUCUUGUGGACAAAUUAGGUAGCUUAGUGGUGAGACUAGUCUUUUUACCUUUUGAAGAAAGUUCAUAUGUAACCUUUGCAAGGUCUGCUUCAGGACAAUAUCCAGGGAAGAGCAAGAAAUUAGGAAACUGCUUGAUGGAGUCCCUCAAGUUAGUUUUGUUGAUUGGCCUUGUCUUUAUGGCAUUUGGUCCAAGUUAUUCUUAUUCGCUCAUUAGAUUGCUGUAUGGUGAAAAAUGGAGUGAUGGGGAAGCGUCAACUGCUCUCCGCUACUACUGCCUUUAUGUCAUUGUCUUGGCUAUCAAUGGAACAUCUGAAGCCUUCUUGCAUUCAGUUGCAACAGAGAGCCAACUAAAGCGUUCAAAUCAUUCAUUAGUUGUAUUCUCGGUGAUCUAUGUAGUUUUGAAUGUCCUGCUAAUAAGAAUAGCUGGGGCAGUUGGCUUAAUUAUGGCAAAUUCUCUCAAUAUGACCUUGAGGAUUUCAUACUCUGCUGUAUUCAUUAAAAAUUAUUUCAAGGAAUCUUCCUCAUUUUCAUUCUCGAGCUGCUUGCCUUCAGGAUGGACUUUUCUGUUAAUUUCAGGUGUAAUCACUCUCAUUUCUGAGAAUAUAUUUCUGGACCAAGAAAACUUCUGGCCAACAUUCAUGAUCCAUUUGUCUGUUGGGCUGGCUUGCUUCUGCAUUUCAUCUUAUGUGAUCUACCAACGGGAAAAACCGUUCAUCAAAAGGAUUAUUCGUUUUCGUGAUCACUCAGACUGAAGAUUUUUGCAAAUUUACCUGUAUGGCAGAGGAAAGAGCAUGGAUUACCAGUUUGUAACAAAGAAAAUUAGUUGGUUUGUUGAGAUAAUAACCAAAAAGGAGGAGAAUGGAACCGUGGUGGAUCUAACUCGCUGACUAAAAUUUGUAAUACACAACACAACAAAUGUGGACCUGUAAGGCUACAAGAGAUUAUAAAUCGAGUUAACCUUCUAGCCAGAUUCAGGUCAGUUGAAAACUAACUAAAUGGGUGUGCUACUGUGCUCACAUUUUCUAAUCUGAUACGCUAAAAAUAUCGUUCCACCCCGUUUUAUUUGUACGUAUCACACACUCAAAUAAUGCUGAAUUGCUGAAAUUUUGAAUUAAAACAAAACUUAGGAAAUUAUCGAUUGUUUAUCCAAUAUACUUAGGGCUAAAAGCCUGUGGAAUGAUUAAAAAUCAAUAGAGUAUGGUGAGUAUAGGUGAAAAGUGAGAGAAAAUGAAUAACAUACAAGGGAAAAUGGCCAACUAAGAAACCUGAAAGUAGUGAAGAUUGAUUGAGGUGUAUUUUAUAUCGCCGCUUUAUUUGAUGUUUGUGGGGAUAAAAUUUGUAGCAAUUAUACUAAUCAGAUGAAGGGGAAAAAACAAAUAAUAAAAUUGAAAACCUUCAAUACCAAACAAGAAAAAAUGAAAAGCUUAAUCGCAAUUUAUAAUCUAAAACGUGAAGAUAGCGGCGGAGGUAAUUUUCUCCUCACUGAUAUGAAAUUUGCUACACAUCACUUUCCAAAAACGAAAGAAUGGAAAAUAAAAUAUUUAUGAGGAGUAAGCUUUUGAUUAAGGUAGGGUUUGAACAUCUGGUUUUUGUCCUAGGAAGUAAAAAUGGAGAUGGUGCGAGAGUAAGUAAAAAGUAAAUACCACAGUUUUUUUGUUUCUUCUUGUUAGAGUCUUAGAGAU